rnacentral:lncRNA from 1 species
CUUUACGGACACGUGUGCGCAUUCAGAUGGCAGCCAUGGUUGGCGGCUCCUUUGUCGCAUGUGCUGCGGCCCUCACCUUUUCUGCAUCCGUCGUCAUCAGGGUACAGGCGCGGUGCAGGGCUACUUCGAGUCCAGGUGGGCAUCGAGGCCAGGUGAGUGGCCCCAUAACGUGGAAGGGAUGAUCGAGUUCUUCUAGAAGAUGUCCUGGUAAGUCAGUUGUGAAAGAAAGGUGGCCUCUUCCAGAGAGCCUUACUCUUCAGCCAGAACAGAGGUUAUCUGGGGCCUCUGAAGCCAAACUCCGUCGUAUCUUGAAUUCACAUUCAGGACUAAUCUCCCAAGAGUUCUCAAGGGAAGGAGAGACUGCGAUGUGGACUGUGGGUUGUACAGGGUUUUCGUAAUGCACUUAGCAAGCCUCCAGCGUGCUUGGGUCUGCCGUGACCCUGUGCAUUCCUACAGUGCUUGCCAAAACAAUUGUGAAGUGGUUUGAGGCCUUGCCCUGCUCUCUCCAGAGCAAGGUUAUAGAAAUUUCAGACAGUACGACAGAUACCUGGCGCCUGGGUAAGUCACAAGGGAGUAGAGUUUGUUUCUGUGGUCCAGAGUUAAUGCAAACUAUUAAGUCCUUAAAACAAUUACAAAAUACAGCAUGAGUUCAAGUAAAACUCGAGGUGUGGUCACAUGGUGUUUGCUCCAGGUGGGCCCUGGGCCUGGUUCUUAGCAAGCAAGAAAACCAGGAUCGGAGAGACCCAAGAUGGUAGAAGCCUGGCCCGUGUGCCAAUAGCUAAG